rnacentral:lncRNA from 1 species
UGUUUGUCCUGUUGAAUAUUAUUAUUAAAAUUGCUUUAUCAUGUAUGAUCCAAAUAUAAAUAUGUAUACAUACAUGUGACUCUACACCAGGUCAAUUGUGAUAUAAAUCAGGUUUUGUAAGUGGUUGUGAAAGGUUCAUGUGCUAAUAGAUAAUUAACAUUGAUUUAUACCUUAACUGAGCUUUACAGCUUCCCUCCUUGCCACCCCACAAAAACUUGCAAAAUGCAUGUAAACAAUGAAAUAGUUCACUCUUUUUCGUUACCUUACAAUAACGCUCCAAUGUGACUUAUAUUAACGACCUGAUUACGAACCUUAUUAGGAAACUUGUUGCUUGAGAUGCAUGUAUGAUAUGAGCUAUGAUACAUGACAAACCAUUCAAACUACAUCAAUUGUUAUUUAAGACAUUAACAUAGUGUUAACUUAACCUUCCUAUGUAUUUUUACGUAGAUGUGUGUGUAUUGUUUAUGCACAGUUAAACACUACUUGAAACCAAAUGUAGAUUUGACAUGAGUUGUUAUACUUGUUAAUUCAUUUACCAGGUGUGUUAUACUCGUUAAUUCAUUUACCAGGCGUGUUAUACUCGUUAAUUACUUGUUGCAUUGUAAUUUAUAACACUAAACAGUGAAACUAUUGUAAUUAAGGUAGAGAGAUUCUGUAAAGCUACUUUAGUUAAUUCAUGCUUUUUUCUGUAUACUUAUACAAGAGUUACAGUUACAGGUUAAAGUUCUCCUUAGGGAGUUUUGAAUUUAUUACCAAUAACAUUGCAGAAAGUAUCAGCAUGACAAAUAUCACAACCUUAAAUAGCACAGUGGAUAAUUAACAUCCCUACUUUAUAAUAAAGGCUCUUGGUACCAAAAUAAUGUGACAAGAGGUGUUUUUUUGUGAAAAAGAAAACUAUGUACACUGUAUUUGUUCUAUAUAUUAUGUACACUGUAUUUGUUCUAUAUAUUAUGCUUUGCUAUACUAUGAAAGCAACUCCAAGUAAAAAUAAAAUGUCAUACACGCCGGAACUCUUCUUUGUUCAAGAUACAAAACUGAGCACUAGGCUCUCUACCUUAAAUGAAUAAACCUACAAUUACAUGUACAGUAUCUGCUUGUAAAUUAUACCCUAUUCAUCUUCAAAGGAUCAUGUUCCAGUCCCCUGUCAUUUUUGCAGGUAUAUAUAUAGCAUGGUAAGGUUUAUACUUAAUAUGUACAUGUCAUAAUAAUAAAUCUACCUGAGAGUUUGUAUUUAAACAGACAUAUCGAAGAACUACAUUUAAAAAAUUCUUUUUAAAAUAUUUUGAUACUUUCCAAUCAUGUUUCUUAUUUGUAUCCUGAGUAACUUGGACUGAAUUGAUUAAUUACUGUAUAUUUAAGGAUAGCAAAAAAAUCAAUGAUUUUCCAAUAUGUAAUCUCAUUAAUCUUACAAUUAUCUUUCCAAUACAAAUAGUUUACAUUGACAAUUAAUCGGUAAGAGAAAAGCGAAGGUGUUAACAAGAUAUUUACAUGUCAUUUCCCCCAUCAUUGUAUUUGAUGUGGCUGACACACUGACAGUAAUACCCAUUGUAAAUGUUUAUCAUUACUUCAUAAUUUAUCUGAAUUGGAAGACAUGGACAUACGGUAUAUGGAAAUUAUAUGUCAUCCACUUUAUAUUGUGAUCCUUUUUAUAUUUAAAUUCUAUGAAUUUUUAGUACAUGAUAAAUAAACGGUAUAAAAAAGUA